GUUAAUACUAAUAAUAAUAAUAAUAAUAAUAAAUAAUAAUAAUAUAAUAAUAAUAAUCAGUGUAAUGUAUAUUAGAUGAAUGCAUUCAGGCUCAUUUCAUUUUGAACUUUAACAUAAAUAAAUAAAUAUAAACAUCCACAUAAACAAUAUAAAUACUACAAACUAUAAAAUAAUGAAAAUAGAACAGGCUGUGUGUGUGUGUGUGUGUGUGUGUGUGUGUGUGUGUGUGUGUGUGUGUGUGUGUGUGUGUGAGUGUACAGUCAGGUUCUUCGACUGUAACGUGCAUUACAGAAACUUCCCCAAUGAUCUGAUCACGUGACCACUUUGACAGGGUCGAAGCGCCGCCAUCUUUCGACCUCCAUCUUCUUCCGCCGCACACAGCGCGAACAGACUUUGAACCCCUUUUUCCUGCUCGGUGUACGGGACGGCUUUAUAUAAACAACCCACAGUUUAAAAAAAAGAAGAAAAAAAACAAUAAAAGAGAAGAAAAGAAACGACGCGUUUUCCUCCGCAGUGACUCUGAGUGAAACUCGGCGCUCGGGACGCUCGCGAAUGACUCGGAGACUGACGUUCACACGGCGCUAUUUGUUGCUCCGGCGGAGGGAUACGGUGCUUCAUUCUGCCAGAUCUAGCUUCUUUUUUCCUCCGCUGGAAGCCAUGAUGGAAGUUUGAGAGUUCAGCUGGAGAGAGAGACGCGGAGAGAGAAACGGCGAGAAAGAAGAUGAUUCCCUUCGACAGAUCCGCGGCGUGGACGUGCUCCUGAACCCGGGGCGCUUGGUGUUCGGGCUGUGGCCGAGGUGGAGCUGGUAGAGGGCCGCGUUUGUGUGUCGGAAAUCGCGUCGACCUUUUGAACGGCGGAGAUGAUCGCUCGCUAGGACGGCUUUGGCUUUUUAAAAGGUGGAGGAGACACACACACACACACACACACACACACACACACACACACACACACACAGAGAGAGAGAGAGAGACAGAAAUGGCACUUAGAGACUGAUUGAAAGUGCAUUUGGGAGUGAAAGGGACGCUUUGUGGAUCCUCUUCCCCCACAUGAGAGGCGAUGGAGAGGUUUUCCUGCUCGGCUCGGAGGUAAAUCACGGCGGAUCUGAUGCUCUGCGUUUGGGCUCCUGGAGGAUCGGAGAGCCCUUUUCUCUCCUGGAGGAUUGGGACACUCAGGAUUUCUGCGUUUGUUUUACUCUCCACGAGCAUCCUGAUCAGCUUUAGGACACAUUUAUAAGCCGUGCUAUGUCUGUGUCAGACACUGAGACAGUCUGCUUCAGGCCUGCUGUAGUCUGGACUGGAGCCCUGCUCGGGCCCUUCAAGCUGUAGGACACUCUUACAGAUCAGAUCUCAAGCAUCUCAUUUCUACGCCGAAAUAAUCCUCGUUUUAAUCAGCGCAGCCUGCUAAACGAAGCAGGAAGGAAGGAUUCGGGCCUGUUCGCUGGAGAUCCGGCUCCAUCACAGACACGCCAAGCUUCAGCUGUACUAAUUGUAUAAUAUGUAUAUGUAUCAGUUCUAACGGAACCUUUCGGAUCAGCGUCCCGGUUUGCACGUCCUAAACGACCCGAAUAAUCCCGCUUUUACAAGCUCGAUUUGUUCCAGGUGUAUAAAUCAUUACUCUUCGUUAACAGCUCUCAAUCCGAACUGAACCUUCUGGAGAAAGGAACUCCGUCAGAGAGCCGGUCCGACGGUCUCGUAGACCGGAGUAUCGUACCGGUCCGACGUUCUCGUAGACCGGAGUAUCGUACCGGUCCGACGUUCUCGUAGACCGGAGUAUCGUACCGGUCCGACGUUCUCGUAGACCGGAGUAUCGUACCGGUCCUGCUUUUCGUGGAGGAGUAGAUCCGUGUCUGCCGUCGUCAUCUUCGUCCUCGAGUCCGAAUAAUUCCCGAAGAACCCGAGGAACAUCCGAGAUCGUCCGUUUUGAAAUCUGGUUUUCACCCGGACGCCUUUUUUUUUUUUUUUUUUUUAAAUAAAAAAAAAAUCAUCAUUUUUCUUGUCCCCGGUAUCGCUGGAUUCGGAAAGCUCCACAGGGCCUGGUUUUGACUUUAUCUAAAAAAAAUAAAUAAUCCACAUUUUCACGCCCAGACGAGCAGACGACGACUUUAUGUCUGUAUUAAGCAGAUUUGAGAACUUUUUGGACGCAAGUAUACGCUUAACAUAAUCACCGGACGUUUUGCUGCCGGAUCGGACGCGUUGUACGCACGUGUAGAUAGAUAUAUAUAUAAAUCUGCUCUAAAGCGGUGCAGACGGGGACAACGGACGUCUUUUUCUAUACGCGGUCGUGUUUGUGAGUAAACUGUGGAACUGUGAUGGCGUUCAUCAAGCAGAUCGUGAGCCGAGAAAAGAGACGAUACCAAGAAGAUGGAUUCGAUCUGGACCUGACGUGUAUCCUCGACCUGCAAGCCGGGAUUUUUAUUGUAUUGUUAUUUUUGAUCAUGUUCUUUUGGUUAAAAAUGAGUAACCCGUGGGUGGAGUAGGACGGCGUCACCGUCACAGAGUGGGGUGAAGGCUACGUUAACCUUCUUGUAUUCUGAUUGAGAGCUGGGUGGUGGUGGUGGUGGUGGUUGUUGUUUUAAAGAAAAGAAAUGCUUUUGUUUGAUCCACACCGAUCACGUAGGAGGUUUUCGGAUCACGUUAAGAACAAGAGCGAGUUUGGGGCGGAAUCGCGGGUUUAUGAUUGGUCAAGUGAUUUCGAGGAUAAUGGGCGUAAUGUUGUAAUGAAGUUUGUUCAGUCGAAGAGUCUAAAAUGCAAGCGUUGUCCGAAAAUCCAUCCAAAAUCUAAGCGCUGUCCAAAAUCCAAUCAUUGUCCAAAAUCUAAUGCUGUCCAAAAAUAAGUCCAAAAUCUAAGUGCUGUCCAAAAUCCAAUCGUCCAAAAAUACGUCCAAGAUCCAAUCACUGUCCAAAAAUACAUCCAAAAUCCAAUCAUUGUCCAAAAUCUAAUCGUUGUCCAAAAUCUAAUCAUUAUCCAAAAAUAAGUCCAAAAUCUAAGGGCUUUCCAAAAUCCAAUCAUUGUCCGAAAUCUAAGGGCUUUCCAAAAAUACGUCCAAAAUCCAAUCAUUGUCCAAAAUCUAAUCGUUGUCCAAAAUCUAAUCAUUAUCCAAAAAUAAGUCCAAAAUCUAAGUGCUGUCCAAAAAUACGUCCAAAAUCCAAUCACUGUCCAAAAAUACGUCCAAAAGCCAAUCAUUGUCCAAAAUCUAAUCAUUGUCCAAAUAAGUCCAAAAUCUAAGUGCUGUCCAAAAUCCAAUCGUUGUCCAAAAUCUAAAGGCUUUUCAAAAAUACGUCCAAAAUCCAAUCACUGUCCAAAAUCUAAGCGUUGUCCAAAAAUAUGUCCAAAAUUGGUGUUGUCCAAAAUCCAGUCAUUGUCCAAUUGUUCUUAAGAGCAAGUCCAAAAAUAGUCAAUACAGAUUAGACACGAAGUGAAAAUGCGUGUAAAGCCCGUAUUCGGAGGGCGGGAUUAGUUUCUCGAGUGUAACGUUGUUAUUCCCGGAGGAUCUCGAUGAUGUGUAUUGUUUCCGAUGUCCUCUCUGACCUCGCCUCCUCCGGGAGAGAACUCUGCGGGGUCGGUUUUAGCGCUAAAGCCUUUUGGGGGUUUGGGUUGUGAUUUAGAAUGUUCAGCCGCUGAUGCUCCAGUAACAGUUUAUUUCGAUAGAAGGGUGUGUCUGUGGGCUUUUCCACACCAGACUGGGGAAAUAACCUGCGUGCAGUCGAUCAGCGGACACUCGACCGUAUCGUUUCUGCACGUUCGCUCGGUUUGUGUGUUUGCGGUUGGAACCGUGACGUGUGUUCAUGCAGUUCCACUUCUGAGUUGAUUUUCAUUUUUAAAAAGUGCAUUUUCUCACCUCGCCAGCAUCUGAUGCUUUGGUUGCCAUCGUUACGCGUGAACUCCGUCCGGAACAGAGUGGUGUUUAUGAUCCGAAAGAUGUUUUUGAGAGCCAUGAAAUCUCCCGUCGGGCUUCAUUCGUCCCUUUGUUGUUGUGUGUAAAUGUUCGCGUAAGGCAAACGGAACAAAAAUCUUCCGCCGGAUUUCGAAAAGUUUCUAAACGCGUUCCUGAUGCGGCUCGUUUGCAUGUAGCGACGCCCACAAACCUCCAUAAAAGGUCAUGCGCGCGCACAGCUGGAAGCACGGAAUGAGAGAUCAGGGUGAAGGCUGGGAGGCGGAACUGGAAGUCGCUUCUACGCCACCGAGGCGUCUGUUGACAGCUCUGCGCAGCGUUACUACCUCACGUGACCUCGUAACCACGUCGUGUUGCACGUCUGAACGGAUAUUCGAACGAGCUAGUUCAUAUUAAAUGCGGAAAUACUGAGGGAAACUAAACCGAGAGGGAAAUGACGCCUCUCUUUAUUUGCUCUGUCCCAGGAGUGAUGCUCAGUGGACGUCGUGACGGUUUAAUGAUUAGAUUCGAUCGGAUUAGAUCAGACGGAGUGCGUGUUGGAAUUUCUGUGCCGUUUUAGUUUAGUUCAGUUUGAUCUAGUUGAUGUGAACACCGCACCUGUACUCGGGUGCGCACCAAAAAACCAUUCCCAGGGUCUCGGUGCUCGUCUGUGUGACGCGGUCACCGGUGGGAGGAGUUUCACCAUGACGCCGUGAAAGUGACCGUUUUUAUCGUCAUGACGAUGUAAAUCCCGCUUUGUUUGUUUGUUUGUUUGUUUGUUUGUUUGCUAUGCACAAGGUGGGAUGAAUCGGGUCCAAAAUUUCUCCAAGACCCAAACCUUUGGGUCCGAACCCAAACCUGUCGUUCCGUCUCUUUCAUUCUUUUCUUCUUGCUUUCUGCACGUUUCGGUGUCUCUCUCUUUCCAUUCCGUUUCCCUCCCUUUUCUGUCUCCGUUUCCUUUCUGCGUCUGUUUUAUUUCCUUUUUCUUUCAUUUUUCCUUUCUUCUUUCCGUUUCCUUUUUCCUUUUCUGUUUCGCGACUUUUUCUUCCCGUCUUUCGUUCUCUUUCGAUCCUUUCGUUUUUUUCUUUCUUUAAUUUAUUUUUCAUUUCUGCGUCCAUCUACCCUCUUUCUUUCUGUAUCCCAUUUUCAUUUUUCUUUGUGCACCUGUCUGUCUGUCCUUUUUCUUUUUUCUUUCUGUCUUUUACUUUCUGCACCCGACCGUCCGCUUGCUCUCUUCGCCUUUCUGUCUUCGUCCGUCUUUCUUUUUCCCUUCUUUUGCAUGUGAUUUUCCUUCCUGUGACUUUUCUUUCUUUCCGUUUCUCUUUCUUUUCUUUCUUUGCUUCAUUUUUGCAGAAGGAAGUGGAUAUAUCAUUUUUACUCCUCCCCCUCCCCCUCCCUCCCUCCCUCUCCUGCACCUGUACGUCUCCAGCGGUCGGAAUGUUGGAGGCGGGCGUCGGCGUGCGAGUGAAGUUUCUCAUCGUUCAGAUCUCGGUGACGUCAUUAUUCAUCUUCACAGUCGGUUCAAGUUAGGAGGGAGGCAUUUAGGCUCCGCCCCCAAACUCCACCUACGGCUCAGUAGAUGGUAACCUGUCCGUGAUGAAGCAGGCGUGGUGUCCCGCAGCACCAGCGCACUGGUUAUUAUAGACUGGUGAGAGUUGUGGCAGUAAUUGAGUGUUGGAGGAGGUGGAGCCGGAGUGUUAAUAGCUCUGUGUGUGUGUGUGUGUGUGUGUGUGUGUGUGUGUGUGUGUUCGUGACAGCACCUGGCCUUCACUGUUACAGUUUUUAGGGAACUAAACCAAACCCCAGCUGUCCAUUUACCACCAAACCACAGAGUAACCGUCUCUGCAGUGACACACACGUACAAAUACACUCCAGCGGGGAGGGGGGCGGGGGUGUGUGUGUGUGUGUGUGUGUGUGUGUGUGUGGAUUAAUGAUGAGUGUGUAUUCGGUGUUGUGUAAGAGGUGUGAAAUGGGAUUGGA
ensembl:lncRNA